UACGUAGGUGGCAAGCGUUAUCCGGAUUUAUUGGGCGUAAAGGGAACGCAGGCGGUCUUUUAAGUCUGAUGUGAAAGCCUUCGGCUUAACCGGAGUAGUGCAUUGGAAACUGGGAGACUUGAGUGCAGAAGAGGAAAGUGGAACUCCAUGUGUAGCGGUGAAAUGCGUAGAUAUAUGGAAGAACACCAGUGGCGAAAGCGGCUCUCUGGUCUGUAACUGACGCUGAGGUUCGAAAGCGUGGGUAGCAAACAGG
rnacentral:rRNA from 1 species